AGCGAGGUUACCCUUUGUGUAUU
rnacentral:miRNA from 1 species